GACGUAGGGCGCGAGCGUUGUCCGGAUUUAUUGGGCGUAAAGAGCUCGUAGGCGGCUUGUCGCGUCGACUGUGAAAUCCCGUGGCUCAACUGCGGGUCUGCAGUCGAUACGGGCAUCACUUGAGUUCGGCAGGGGAGACUGGAAUUCCUGGUGUAGCGGUGAAAUGCGCAGAUAUCAGGAGGAACACCGGUGGCGAAGGCGGGUCUCUGGGCCGAUACUGACGCUGAGGAGCGAAAGCGUGGGGAGCGAACAGG
rnacentral:rRNA from 1 species